GCCCAGGUAGUUCAGUGGCAGAACGCCUUCUUGGUAAGAAGGAGGUCGCGGGUCCGAUUCCCGCCCUGGGCUCCA
rnacentral:tRNA from 1 species